rnacentral:rRNA from 1 species
CCUACGGGAGGCUGCAGUCGAGAAUCAUUCACAAUGGGGGAAACCCUGAUGGUGUGACGCCGCGUGGGGGAAUGAAGGUCUUCGGAUUGUAAACCCCUGUCAUGUGGGAGCAAAUUAAAAAGAUAGUACCACAAGAGGAAGAGACGGCUAACUCUGUGCCAGCAGCCGCGGUAAUACAGAGGUCUCAAGCGUUGUUCGGAAUCACUGGGCGUAAGGCGUGCGUAGGCUGUUUCGUAAGUCGUGUGUGAAAGGCGCGGGCUCAACCCGCGGACGGCACAUGAUACUGCGAGACUAGAGUAAUGGAGGGGGAACCGGAAUUCUCGGUGUAGCAGUGAAAUGCGUAGAUAUCGAGAGGAACACUCGUGGCGAAGGCGGGUUCCUGGACAUUAACUGACGCUGAGGCACGAAGGCCAGGGGAGCGAAAGGGAUUAGAUACCCCAGUAGUC